rnacentral:rRNA from 1 species
CGCGCAGGCGGCUGGGCAAGUCCGAUGUGAAAGCUUCCGGCUUAACUGGAAAAUUGCAUCGGAAACUGCUCAGCUUGAAGGUGGGAGAGGGUAGCGGAAUUCCCGGUGUAGUGGUGAAAUGCGUAGAUAUCGGGAGGAACACCAGUGGCGAAGGCGGCUACCUGGCCCACUCUUGACGCUGAGGCGCGAAAGCUAGGGAGCAAACG